CAAUUUAAAGCUUAUUAAGUAAAGCAUUUCAUUUACAUUGAAAAGAAUUUUGUGCGAAUCAAUAUAAAUUGA
rnacentral:tRNA from 1 species